rnacentral:rRNA from 1 species
GGUCACUGCUAUUGGGAUUCGAUUAAGCCAUGCGAGUCGAGAGGGUUCGGCCCUCGGCUGACGGCUCAGUAACACGUGGAUAAUCUGCCCUAAGGUGGAGGAUAACCUCGGGAAACUGAGAAUAAUACUCCAUAGGUCUAGGAUGCUGGAAUGCACUUAGACUGAAAACUUCGGUGCCUUAGGAUGAGUCUGCGGACUAUCAGGUUGUAGUCAGGGUAAAGACCUGACUAGCCUACGACGGAUACGGGUUGUGAGAGCAAUAACCCGGAGAUGAUAUCUGAGACACGAUAUCAGGCCCUACGGGGCGCAGCAGGCGCGAAACCUUCACACUGUGCGAAAGCGCGAUGAGGGAAUCCCAAGUGCUUGCACGUAAGUGUAAGCUGUUUUUAUGUCUAAAAAGCAUAGAGAGUAAGAGCUGGGUAAGACGGGUGCCAGCCGCCGCGGUAAUACCUGCAGCUCGAGUGGUGGUCGCUAUUAUUGGGCCUAAAACGUUCGUAGCCGGUUUGAUAAAUGCCUGGGUAAAUAGUAUAGCUUAACUAUACGAAUUCCGGGUAGACUGUCAAACUUGAGACCGGGAGAGGCUAGAGGUACUCCUGGGGUAGAGGUGAAAUUCUGUAAUCCUAGGGGGACCACCAGUGGCGAAGGCGUCUAGCUAGAACGGGUCUGACGGUGAGGGACGAAGCCCUGGGGCGCAAACGGGAUUAGAUACCCCGGUAGUCCAGGGUGUAAACGCUGCUUGCUUGAUGUUAGUCGGGCUCUG